CAAAUGACUCUCGGCAAUGGAUAUCUCGGCUCUUGCAUCGAUGAAGAACGUAGUGAAAUGCGAUACUUGGUGUGAAUUGCAGAAUCUCGUGAACCAUUGAGUCUUUGAACGCAAGUUGUGCCUGAGGCCUUGUGGUCGAGGGCACGCCUGCUUGGGCGUCAUGG
rnacentral:rRNA from 1 species